CCCACACACACACACACACAAACACGCAGAGGUUAUCGUUUCGUGCCCUGAUAGAUGAGCACUAUUUGCCUUGAGAAAACAGAGGUGGAAAGGGUUGCCAUAUAGUCAGAUUUUCUGUGCCUGAGUGUGUGCAUAGAUAUUAGCUAGCAAAUAAACCCUGUGUGAUAUCAAUGACCUUUAUGCAGUGGCAAAGAAAGAAAAAAAAACGAAAGAAAAAGAAAUCAAAAAUCAAACUGCACAAAUCUCAUCUUCCAUAGAAGCAGCUUUGAAAUGUUAUAUAACUGAACAUACUGUAGGUUAUGGCUGUAAUCUGGAUAUUAGCAAGCUACUGAUCAGUUAUUAUCAAAGGAAAAAAAGUUGAAACAGGCCAAAUAAAUUAUAUAGAAACAACUACUUUGGUAGAUGAGUAUUUAUAAAAGCUAUCUAUCUAUCUAUCUAUCUAUCUAUCUAUCUAUCUAUCUAUCUAUCUAUCUAGUGUGUUUACUAUUAAAAUUACCAUUCGCCAAGACAACUAUCUAGUAAGCUUGUUAUUAAGGCUACUAUUUACAAAUUUGGCUAUCUGGGACGCUUACAAUUAACGGUACUAUUUAGAAAAGCUGCAAUGUGACAAACAACAACAGUGAUCCAAAACGUAUUUUAAAAAUCAACACAGAAAUGGUUUACUGGCCACAAAAUCAAGGUCCUGAUAUGACCAUCCCAGUCCCCUGACCUGAACCCAUAGAAACCCUGUGGGGUGAACUGAAGAGGAGAGUCCACCAAUAUGGACCUGGAAAUGUGAAGGAUCUGGAGAGGUUCUGUAUGGAGGAACGCUCUCAGAUCCCUCGCCAUGUAUUCUCCAACCUCAUCAGGCGUUAUAGGAGAAGACUCAGAGCUGUUAUCUUGGUAAAGUGAGCUAGCACAAAGUAUUGACUAAAAAGGUGCCAAUAAUUGUUGCACAUCUAUAUUUAACGAAGAUAUAUUUUUAUAAUCCUGUGUUGUGUAUGCAAUUGUAAGAUAUAUAUAUAUAUAUAUACGAGAGCAGAGUAUUUUUGUGAAUUUUUUUUAAACAAAAAAAUCAUAAGGUUAAACAAUAAAGAGUUUCUUUUUUUCACAGCCUUCUUUGCUCAUAAUUACCAAGGGUGCCAAUAUUAGUGGAGGGCCCUGUAACGAUCUAGUAAGUUUACUAAUAAGCUCACUAGUCACAAGUUAAUAUUCACAAAACAACGGUUACUUUUAAGACUACAAAACUUGCAAAGCUAACUAUAUAGUAAGGUUAAAAUGAGGGUUACUAUUAAGGUUACUAUUUAGAAAAGCUAACUAUCUAGCUGGGCUACCGUUAAAGAUAGUAUUUACAAAACCAGCCAUCUAUUAAGGUUACUAUUUAAUUUACUAAUUACAAAGCCAACUAUCUAUUCAAGUCAAAUAAGGGGUAUUAUUAAUAUUACUAUAUACGAAGCAGGUUAUCAAAAAGUAAGUUUACAAUUAAGGGUAUUAUUCAGAAAAGCUAAGUAUCUAGUAAGUUUACUAAAAAGAUUACUAUUAAAAUGACUAUUUGCAAAACGAAUGAUAUAUUAACGGUUACUUUUAAGGUUACUAGUCAUAAAAGCUAACUAUACAGUACAUUUAUAAAGUCAUAUAUAGGUUAUAAUUAAGGUUACUAUUUACAAAACGAACCAUCUAUUAAGGUUACGAUUAGAGUUACUAUUAGCCAAGCUAACAGCAUAUUAGUGGUUUACUUGUAAGGUUACUAUUUACAAAGCUAACUAUAUAGUAAGAUUAAAAUUAAGGUUACUAUUAAAGUUCUAUUUAGGAAAGUUAACUGUCUAGCUGAGUUACUAUAAGGGAUACUACUUACAAAAAUAACUAUCUAGUAAGGUUACUAUUACAGUUACUAUUAACAAAGCGAACUAUCUAGUAAGGUUACUAUUACAGUUACUAUAUACAAAAGCGAACUAUCUAGUAAGGUUACUAUUACAGUUACUAUUAACAAAGCGAACUAUCUAGUAAGGUUACUAUUACAGUUACUAUUUACAAAGCGAACUAUCUAGUAAGGUUACUAUUACAGUUACUAUAUACAAAGCGAACUAUCUGGUAAAUUUAGAAUGAAGGUUACUAUUUAUUAAAGCUAAGUAUCUAGUCAUUUUACUAGUACGGUUACUAUUAAAGUUACUAUUUAGGAACGUUAACUGUCUAGCAGGGUUACGAUAAGGGAUACUACUUACAAAACUAACUAUCUAUUAAAGUUACCAUUUACAAAGUUAAUGAUUUAGUAAGGUUGCUAUUUACAAAUCCAGUAAAACUGUUAUUAUUAUCCUAGCUAACUAGUUUCUGUGAGUCCUGAAGUGGCUUUCUGAACGUACGGUUAGCAUUAGAGCUGAUCUACAGGAUAGAUUACAGGCAAACGUUAUCACUAACUAUGAUAGUCUAGACAGGUUUAGACAGUAAAUAAACAUCUUUACACACACACACACACACACACACACACACACACAGAGCGAAGCAAUAUUCCAUACUAGCCUGUGACAGAGAAUUCAGACAGAUCAUGUUUAAUGCUUUACACUCCUCAAGACAGCAAAGUAUCACGGAGUAGCCUUCAACCUCACAACUUUUUCAUCCAUGUUCGCUGUUGUCCCCCCCCCCCCCCCCAAGUAAAUCAUUUACGGAUUAAAAAGAAAGAAAGAAAGAAAGAAAAAGAUAAAAGAUGCAAACUAAUGAGCACAAACCACAGUUGUCUGGCCGUGUUGGCAGGCAAAUGAAAACAGGAUGCUGUAAGCUUUAAGAAUCCUCUUGUCUUUUGUUUGCUUUGUUAAGCCUCAUUGUAAGUUCAAACAUGGCCACACACACACACACACACACACACACACACACACACACACCACGCAUUUAAGACCCAAGCUAUAUAUGAUCUUGCUUUCAUUAGAACUGUUCCUACAUGGGGAUGUCCUCAUGAGGAAAUAUGGUACAGUAUAUGUAAGGGGAAAAAAAAGCACAUGAGGGCAUGCUGUUAUAGGAAAACCAUCAACGGUGAGUGACGUGAUGCGGCCCAGCACUACAUACCGGAUUGUUUCACUAUAACUGUAUGCCCUCGAGCGUUUAAUAAUUCCAUUAUAUGACAUAUCGACUUGCCAACGAUAUUUAAAGGACGACACGGUGCACUUUUUAUCCAUUUAGAGUUGCUAUUAAUGUUUAACGUGAAGCAGACGACUUCCUGUUACGACUUACUUUAUGGCUUCCUCACCGCUCGCCAGCCUUAAGUCAAUAAGAUAAAAAAAAAAACAGGCAUCUUGUCAUCUUAUCAACUCCUGCUGUGUCAUGGAAAUCUGACCGUUACGGAGAACUGACACUGGAGACUCCUUCCUUUCCUUAAACGCUAAAUACAAACGAUUUUUCCUUGCAGGAAACGUCGCCGUAGUUACGAUUACCGUACGUGAGGGUGUUUUUCUGUUAUUAUUAGCCUCGUGAUGAGAUUAUGUGGAACGAGUGGUUCUGAAUGUGCGGUUACUAUAGAAACAAUAACGUAUUAGAACAAAGAGCCAUAAUUAGGCCUGGCUUUGGGACUGGAUUGCAUUAUGGGAUUUGUCUUUACAAGAAGGACGCCUUCAUCUGUCCAUAAUAAGGAUCUGUAGAUGUUCAUUAAAAAGAACUAUAUAU
ensembl:lncRNA